GGAGAAUAGAAGUUUAAGUGCCGGAACAGAUCCAACCUGAAAAAGAAAAGAAAGAAGUUCUAGUGUAGAUAAUGGACAGGAUCAGAAUGAAUCAUCCAUACCACAAACAAGCACUCGAGGGGGAGAAAGGUUGAAUAAUGACAAAGAUGUAGCAGAUGAGAUGGAUCACAAAAUCAUUGAUGAUAAUGAGGAAAAUGAAGAAGAUGAAAUUGAUGCCAAAAGACUUGAUGAAUCAGUGAGGAAAGCAUGCAAUAUAGAUCUUUCUUUUACACAGGAAACAAUCUUGAAGUAUCCUGAGUUUUUUGAUGAUGGGGGAGAAGCUUCGAAUGCAAAUGAAUCAGUUAAGCAAAAUGUGAAACAAGCAAUGUGAUGGAGGCGGAGAAACCAGAGAAGUUUCGAGAGUUUUUUGAUGGGGGAGAAGCUUCGAAUGCAGGGGAAUCGGUUAAAACACAAUGUGAA